CUACGGUUGACCUCUGCGGCAAUAGACACUGCGAGUAGUUCCCAGUAGCAAGAACUGAAGAAAGUUGCGGAGUAUUCAGUGAAAUAUCUUUUGGGCGUAGGCUGCUGUCACAGACUAACAGGAGCAUUUAGAUCACAUAAGAUUCAAUGCUACAUAUGGAAGCUUAGGAACGUUUCCGUGAGAAGAUCAAGAUACAGUGGUCCUUGCAAUUACAGAUUGAAAACAUGGCGGUACCUAGAAAUGGUGUUUGAGAGUACAACAAAAGUUACAAGAGAGACCCGGACCUCUUCCUCAAUGACAUCACCAAAGCAAUGCAAUGGCACAUUUGC